CAAUGAAGGAAGCAUGGUAAUAUUCACAUAAAUUGAAUUGAGUCUUUAGACCUGCCCUCUUUAAUGCCAUUUGGCUUUGAUUUGGGGGCAUGGUUCCGCAGCAAAACU